UAGUCUUAAUUUCAGUUCUUCAUCCUUGGCACUUGUCACGAAAUAUGACUCGAAAAGAUGCGACGAGACGACGCCAACUGAACAAACACGACAAAAUACAAAGUACAAGUAUCUGCAAUGGGUCGGGAUGCUUUAAAGGUCAUGAAAGGAAAGCAAAGCAAUGGCAAUCCCGGUUCAUAACUCAAUGGUGUUCUGGCUAAGGCUAUAGAAGCCACCCUCUUACCGAACUUUUCAUACUCGUACGCAUAACAUAGGUUUCGUAAUUUUAACCAGUAUUUAAUUUUCACACACACCGAUGCGAUUUCGCGUUUAUUCAGCUCGACGUUAACGGACUAAAUGAAAAUAAAAUAACGAAAUGCGCAAACAAAUAAAUGAACAGUUAGUCACCACUCGAUUAGCAACUGAUAUUCAUAGUUAAGUCCUAUUUCCAAACUUUUUAUAUUCUACUAAUUACUGCUGAAUAAUUUCUCUUACAUAUUUUCAUCUUCUAUUAUACACUUUAAUCUUUUACAAACAUUUUUUUUCGAUUUCCUAAUUUUGCGUAUAAAAUAAGAUAUUUUUGACAUAGAUAUCAGCUGACCGUCAUGGCACCGUGACAAAAGCUUUUUGCUGUGUAGGUACCCAGCUAAGUGCUAAGCUAAAUCAAAAUA